rnacentral:lncRNA from 1 species
CUCGUUGCAUUUAAGACCCAUUGGUGACCUUUGGUUGUUAUCUGCUCUUUGAUCAGGUUGUUAUUUCUUUGACACAUUCCCUAUUUCUAUUUUCAAUUUUAUUUUCAUUUCUAUUAUAAAUUUUAGACUUCUUGUUGAUUUGGUUUCACAUUUCGGCUUCGUCGGAGGAAAGCGUCUCAGAAAUAAAAUAGCCUUGCAAGACGUCAUAAUUAUUUGGACUAGGUUUUUACCACUAUCAACAUUGUAAAGAUUGUCGCACUGUGGAAGAAACGAGUUUGGCGCGUUAACAAAAAUAUAAUUGUCUGUGCUGACAG